GCGUCGGUGGUAUAACGGUUAACAUAGCUGCCUUCCAAGCAGUUGACCCGGGUGCGACUCUCGGCCGACGCA
rnacentral:tRNA from 1 species